rnacentral:rRNA from 1 species
UACAGCGGUCUCAAGCGUUGUUCGGAUUCAUUGUGCGUAAAGGGUGCGUAGGUGGCGCUGUGAGUCGGGUGUGAAAUUUCGGAGCUUAACUCCGAAACUGCAUUCGAUACUGCGGUGCUUGAGGACUGGAGAGGAGACUGGAAUUCAUGGUGUAGCAGUGAAAUGCGUAGAGAUCAUGAGGAAGACCAGUGGCGAAGGCGGGUCUCUGGACAGUUCCUGACACUGAGGCACGAAAGCGUGGGGAGCAAAAGGG